AAACGAAAAGAGGGAUAUAUAUUUUCUAUGUAGCAGGAAUAAUGAGAGUGGUGAGUCCAUAUAUUCCGGGUUAUAACUUGCAGUACAUACUCAUAAGUAUAAUAUGCUUAGUUUGUUUAUUCUAAAUAGCACUGUGCCUGAAGUAUAUAUAGUAUAUAUAGAUUGCUAAUAUAUAUGCCAUAUGUGGUGGUGCUCAUUGAUUGUGGUUGUCAUGUCAUCCCAUUCAACCCCAAUUCGGUUGAAUUUUGGUUGCCAGGAGUUGCAAAGAAAGGACAGAAAAGAUUUCUUAUGAACCUCUUUCUCCUUUUUGUUUUGAUAAUGAACUAC
rnacentral:sRNA from 1 species